rnacentral:rRNA from 1 species
ACGGGUGAGUAACGCGUGGGUAACCUGCCUCAUACAGGGGGAUAACAGUUAGAAAUGACUGCUAAUACCGCAUAAGCGCACAGUGCUGCAUGGCACAGUGUGAAAAACUCCGGUGGUAUGGGAUGGACCCGCGUCUGAUUAGCUAGUUGGUGGGGUAACGGCCUACCAAGGCGACGAUCAGUAGCCGGCCUGAGAGGGUGAACGGCCACAUUGGGACUGAGACACGGCCCAAACUCCUACGGGAGGCAAGCAUG